GUGGAGUCAGGGGGCCGGGCAAGUGGCAGGAGACCUUAGAGGCGAGGCCGACUGGGGUGAAAAUGAAGGACUUGAACGGGGUGGGGGGAACGGAGGGAUUUUUUUUCAAUUCCUUCCCAGAAUUGCCUCCUGCUUCCUCCUCCAAACUUCAAGACACACAUGGACACCCAUAUGUACACCCACGCGUACACACACAUGCCCACACAUAUACACAUACAUGCACACACAUACACAUGCACACCCACACACAUUCCCACACACACACGCCCACACAUACACAUGCAUGCCCACACAUAUACACGCAUACACACACAUGCCCACACAUAUACACAUACAUGCACACACAUACACAUGCACACCCACACACAUUCCCACACACACACGCCCACACAUACACAUGCAUGCCCACACAUAUACACGCAUACACACACAUGCCCACACAUAUACACAUACAUGCACACACAUACACAUGCACACCCACACACAUUCCCACACAUAUGCACACAUACACACACACAUGCCCGCACAUACACAUGCAUGCCCACACAUAUACACGCAUACACACACAUGCCCACACAUAUACACAUACAUGCACACACAUACACAUGCACACCCACACACAUUCCCACACACACACGCCCACACAUACACAUGCAUGCCCACACAUAUACACGCAUACACACACAUGCCCACACAUAUACACAUACAUGCACACACAUACACAUGCACACCCACACACAUUCCCACACAUAUGCACACAUACACACACACAUGCCCGCACAUACACAUGCAUGCCCACACAUAUACACACAUGCACACACAUGCCCACACAUAUACACACGCCCACACAUACACACGCAUGCCCACACACAUACACACAUGCACACACACAUGCACACGUACACACAUGCACAUACAUGCACACUCACGUGCGCGCACGCUCCGUUCCUUUCUCUCUCUCUGACUCUCCAUGGCCUCCCCUGAACCCUAUUUUAUCCUCUACUGACCAUCAACUCCUCCGAGGUUUUAUGUUUUCCUCCAUGAUACCCAGUGAUAAUAUGAGGUCGGCUCCCUCUCAGCUUUAUAUGCAUUUUGUAC
rnacentral:lncRNA from 1 species